rnacentral:rRNA from 1 species
UAACGGCGAGUGAAGCGGCAACAGCUCAAAUUUGAAAUCUGGCCCUCUCGGGGUCCGAGAUUGUAAUUUGGAGAAGAUGCUUCGGGCGUGGCGCCGGUCUAAGUUCCUUGGAACAGGACGUCAUAGAGGGUGAGAAUCCCGUACGUGACUGUGCGCCUACGCUCGUGUGAAGCUCUUUCGACNAGUCGAGUUGUUUGGGAAUGCAGCUCAAAAUGGGUGGUAAAUUUCAUCUAAAGCUAAAUAUGGGCCAGAGACCGAUAGCGCACAAGUAGAGUGAUCGAAAGAUGAAAAGCACUUUGGAAAGAGAGUUAAACAGCACGUGAAAUUGUUGAAAGGGAAGCGCUCGCCACCAGACCUGCGCGCGACCGAUCAUCCGGGGUUCUCCCCGGUGCACUCGGUCGCGCCCAGGCCAGCAUCGGUUCGGGUGGUCGGACAAAGGUCGUGGGAACGUAGCUCCUCUCGGGGAGUGUUAUAGCCCGCGGCGCCAUGCGACCCACCGGGACCGAGGACCGCGCUUCGGCUAGGAUGCUGGCGUAAUGGUUGUGAGCGACCCGUCUUGAAACACGGACCAAGGAGUCUAAUAUUUAUGCGAGUAUUUGGGUGUCAAACCCAGGUGCGCAAUGAAAGUGAACGGAGGUGAGAACCCGUCAGGGCCCAUCAUCGACCGAUCCUGAUGUCUUCGGAUGGAUUUGAGUAGGAGCAUAGCUAUUGGGACCCGAAAAAGAGUGAACUUUAC